rnacentral:lncRNA from 1 species
UCGAGGGUAAGAGUAGAUUCUCGGAGCCUGCAGAGAGAACAGUUUUAGAGGAAGAAGGACUAGCAGCAGUGGUGGUUUGAGGGCGGGGCGCGGCGAGGCAACGUGAACCGAUAGUCGUGGGUAGAGGAGGCGACAACAGUCACCGAAUUAGUACAGUUGGGCGGUGGGAGUUGAGUUGGUGAGGAUAUGGUGAUCAUCAAGCUGUCGAGGACGUAGGUGGCUACGAGAGCAAUGUGAACUUGUUGUAAUAAAAAGGGACGGAUAGAGGUUGUUGGGGGAUUGGGGAUAUGGUGAUCAUGAAGCCAUUGAAGAUGUAGGCGGGUGCGAGAGCAACAUGCAAAAUGAGCUUAUCGCCGUAAAAAGGGGAAUGAUAGAGGUUGAAGAAACAAUCUAGGCUGCUGAUUCAAAACCAAUGGUCGAGAGGUGUUGCCUGAUUUGUUUUUCGAGAUGCAACGCAUGAUAGGUAACUAGUUUCAUAUUUUAAAGAGUAUAAAAUCUAAAUCUAGAUAUGGCAACAAGAACCACCGCAUUAGUACGGUUGGAGGGUGGGGGUUAGGAGGGGGAUACGGUGAUCAUAAAACCGCCGAGGACGUAGGUGGCUGGCAAGAGCAAUGUACAAAAUGAUUUUGUCAUGGGAAAAAAAAGGAAUGGGCGGAAGUCCAAGGCUAGGUUGUUGCCGGUUGGAUUCAAACCCAGCUAUCGAGAGGCGUCGCCUUUUAUUUUAGAUGAACUACAAUAAAUAGCCACUCCCUCCGUUUCAAAUUAUAGAUUAUUUUGACUUUUU